rnacentral:rRNA from 1 species
AGAGUUUGAUCAUGGCUCAGAAUCAACGCUGGCGGCGUGCCUCAGACAUGCAAGUCGAACGAUUAAGACUCCCUUCGGGGAGUGCAUAAAGUGGCGCACGGGUGAGUAACACGUAGGUAAUCUACCUUUGGAUGGGGAAUAACAACCGGAAACGGUUGCUAAUACCGCAUAAUGCAGCGGCACCUAAUGGUGACAGUUGUUAAAGCGGGGGAUCGAAAGACCUCGCGUCUGAAGAGGAGCCUGCGGCAGAUUAGCUAGUUGGUAAGGUAACGGCUUACCAAGGCGAUGAUCUGUAGCCGGCCUGAGAGGGCGGUCGGCCACACUGACACUGACAUACGGGUCAGACUCCUACGGGAGGCAGCAGUCGGGAAUUUUGGGCAAUGGGCGAAAGCCUGACCCAGCAACGCCGCGUGAAGGAUGAAAUCCCUCGGGAUGUAAACUUCGCAAGAACGGGAAGAAUAAGUAAGGGUUAAUAUCUCUUACGAUGACGGUACUGUUUGUAAGCUCCGGCUAACUCCGUGCUANCCGCCGCGGUAAUAC